rnacentral:rRNA from 1 species
AUCCAGAGAACUUGGCAGAGAUGCCUUGGUGCCUUCGGGACCUCUGAGACAGGUGCUGCAUGGCUGUCGUCAGCUCGUGUUGUGAAAUGUUGGGGUUAAGUCCCGCAACGAGCGCAACCCCUAUCCUUUGUUGCCAGCGAUUCGGUCGGGAACUCAAAGGAGACUGCCGGUGAUAAACCGGAGGAAGGUGGGGAUGACGUCAAGUCAUCAUGGCCCUUACGAGUAGGGCUACACACGUGCUACAAUGGCGCAUACAAAGAGAAGCGACCUCGCGAGAGCAAGCGGACCUCAUAAAGUGCGUCGUAGUCCGGAUCGGAGUCUGCAACUCGACUCCGUGAAGUCGGAAUCGCUAGUAAUCGUAGAUCAGAAUGCUACGGUGAAUACGUUCCCGGGCCUUGUACACACCGCCCGUCACACCAUGGGAGUGGGUUGCAAAAGAAGUAGAUAGCUUAACCUUCGGGAGGGCGUUUACCACUUUGUGAUUCAUGACUGGGGUGAAGUCGUAACAAGGUAGGCGUAGCGAG